rnacentral:rRNA from 1 species
GACAGAGGGGGCAAGCGUUGCUCGGAAUUACUGGGCGUAAAGGGCGCGUAGGCGGGAUGGCAAGUCGGUCGUGAAAUCCCUCGGCUCAACCGAGGAACGUCGAUCGAUACUGCCGUUCUUGAGGGUUGCAGAGGAGACUGGAAUUCCCGGUGUAGCGGUGAAAUGUGUAGAGAUCGGGAGGAACACCGGUGGCGAAGGCGGGUCUCUGGGCAAUUCCUGACGCUGAGGCGCGAAAGCGUGGGGAGCAAACGGG